AUGGGUGACUAGUGGCAGAGGGAGGGAAGGGGUGACUAGUGACAGAGUGAGGGGAUGACUGGUAACAGAGUGAGGGGGGGGGGUGACUGUCACUAGUCACCCCAUCCCUCUCUCUGUCACUAGUUACUCCCUCCCUAACUCUGUCACUGUGUCACCCGCUCCUUCACUCUGUCACUAGUCACCUGUCUGUAUUUUCCCUCACCCCAAAUGCCCCUUCCCACCUCCCCUCUGUCACUGUCACCCCCAUCUCUGUCACUAGUCACACCAU